GAUGAAGAACGCAGCGAAAUGCGAUAAGUAAUGUGAAUUGCAGAAUUCAGUGAAUCAUCGAAUCUUUGAACGCACAUUGCGCCCGCCAGUAUUCUGGCGGGCAUGCCUGUUCGAGCGUCAUUUCAACCCUCAAGCCCCAGCGGUUUGGUGUUGGGGACCGGCGAGUACAGAGGCUUUGGGGACUUGUCCCCCUUCCCUCGGCGCCGCCCCCGAAAUGAAUUGGCGGUCUCGUCGCGGCCUCCUCUGCGUAGUAGCACAACCUCGCAUCAGGAGCGCGGCGCGGCCACUGCCGUAAAACGCCCAACUUUUUUUAAGAGUUGACCUCGAAUCAGGUAGGAAUACCCGCUGAACUUAAGCAUAUCAAUAAGCGGAGGA
rnacentral:misc_RNA from 1 species